CCCCAGGCUCCCCGCAUGCCCGAGCCGCUCUCUCCUCUACCCCGCUGGAUCGAGGGAACGGAGGGUCCUGCCCCGCCUCGCCGGAGCUGCCUCCCCGCCGGCGAGCACCUUCACCAGGCCGCCUCUGUCGCCAGGAGCUCGCCGCAGGAGUCCUCGUCGCCGCCGGCCUCGUUUUGCUACGUCGUCGGCCGGAUCUGAGAUCCCCCUCGCCGGAUCCGGUUCUUCUCAGCGCCCACGACGAGAUCCGGCCAGUCUCCCUGCAAAUCCCUGCCUCGUCCGCCUCCGGCUCGUCGACGAGACGGCGAACGCCCGCGCGACGUGCGCGUUGACCGCGCUUCUCCUCGUCGUGGUCUCAUUGAGCGCAUGGGCCAGGAGCUUGCAAGCCCAGCUGCAACCUCCACCGAACCAAGCCGGCCUAUCUUCUCCUCUCCUUCGACCCGGCGCUCUCGCAGCCUGCAGCCAGCUCCAGCGACUGGGCCUUGGCCCAUGGUUCCGAUAAAGUCGCGUUUGUGAGGAUCCGUUCGACUACGUCUGUUU